rnacentral:rRNA from 1 species
GUGGAUCCCUGGCUUGUGGGUCGAUGAAAAACGCAGCAAAAAUGCGCGUUGUCAUGUGAACUGCAGGACACAUGAACGUCGACACUUUGAACGCAAAUGGCGGCCCCGGUUUCGGCUGGGGCCACACCUGGCAGAGGGUCGG